UUAUUUUCAGAAUAUACACUAAGGAAAGAAAUCAAGUUGUAUUUCAAAUGGGCACUUCUGAUGCCAUGAGGGCUCUCAAAGCUUCUGAAAUAGUGCUAGGUCAUCAGAUUUAAUAGCUUAUUAUAGUUGUGAUGAUGAAUCCAGCCCAGGUGAUCGAGGUAUUGCUAAUGAGCAUGGAUCGCUGCAUCAUAAAGUACAGUAUCUUGUGAGCAAUCAAAUGAAUUGGUCAACUAAUACAUUGCAUAAUUCUGAAGGGACGUUCUUAAACAAUGGGUUGACCAAGGAGGAGCAUGAAGGCGUAGAAUGCAUUUUUGAUUUUUGAUCAUAUGUAUGAAUAUGAUAAAACUGAAGCACUAUGUCGUUCUUAACAUAUAUGCCGUUGACUUCUUAUUAAGAAAUGUACUUAUAAUAUUUGA